AGGGGUAUAGCUCAGUUGGUAGAGCAGUGGUCUCCAAAACCACGUUUGAUAGACAAAACUUCGAUUCUUAUGAGUCGAA
rnacentral:tRNA from 1 species